rnacentral:rRNA from 1 species
GACGAACGCUGGCGGCGUGCUUAACACAUGCAAGUCGAACGAAGAGCGAUGGAAGCUUGCUUCUAUCAAUCUUAGUGGCGAACGGGUGAGUAACGCGUAAUCAACCUGCCCUUCAGAGGGGGACAACAGUUGGAAACGACUGCUAAUACCGCAUACGAUCUAAUCUCGGCAUCGAGGAUAGAUGAAAGGUGGCCUCUACAUGUAAGCUAUCACUGAAGGAGGGGAUUGCGUCUGAUUAGCUAGUUGGAGGGGUAACGGCCCACCAAGGCGAUGAUCAGUAGCCGGUCUGAGAGGAUGAACGGCCACAUUGGGACUGAGACACGGCCCAGACUCCUACGGGAGGCAGCAGUGGGGAAUCGUCCGCAAUGGACGAAAGUCUGACGGAGCAACGCCGCGUGAGUGAUGACGGCCUUCGGGUUGUAAAGCUCGGUUAAUCGGGACGAAAGGCCUUCUUGCGAAUAGUGAGAAGGAUUGACGGUACCGGAAUAGAAAGCCACGGCUAACUACGUG